UGGGGAAUAUUGCACAAUGGGCGCAAGCCUGAUGCAGCCAUGCCGCGUGUAUGAAGAAGGCCUUCGGGUUGUAAAGUACUUUCAGCGAGGAGGAAGGCGUUGUGGUUAAUAACCGCAGCGAUUGACGUUACUCGCAGAAGAAGCACCGGCUAACUCCGUGCCAGCAGCCGCGGUAAUACGGAGGGUGCAAGCGGUAAUAGGAAUUACUGGGCGUAAAGCGCACGCAGGCGGUCUGUCAAGUCGGAUGUGAAAUCCCCGGGCUCAACCUGGGAACUGCAUCCGAAACUGGCAGGCUAGAGUCUUGUAGAGGGGGGUAGAAUUCCAGGUGUAGCGGUGAAAUGCGUAGAGAUCUGGAGGAAUACCGGUGGCGAAGGCGGCCCCCUGGACAAAGACUGACGCUCAGGUGCGAAAGCGUGGGGAGCAAACA
rnacentral:rRNA from 1 species